GAUUUUAAUAUGAUUAUAUUAUAAAAAGAUUAAUGGUAUUUUUCUAAGUAACCCACAUAGAUCUGAGGCUGGUAUCUCAAUGUUGGAUAAGUUUAAUGAACUCACUUUCUUGCUUGCCAUAACUUUCUCUCUGUUCAAAUAGAUUGUAGGAAUAUUACAUCAAUUCACAUAAGCCUAUAAACUCCCAUGGAACUGGAAUACACUCGCAAAUUUUUUUAAUAAACUUAGAUAAUAAUGAAUGCCUGGUUAGAUAGAAUUAUAAUCUUUUGUGCAGUUUGGGUGAGAUUUGCUUAGCCUUCAAGUAUUUCUCAGCAUGCUGCUCACAAGACAAUGUUUUCUUUGUGUUCUGCAACUAUGAGCUUACAGUCCCUGUAGGUUUCAAUUUGUGCACAUGUAUGUGAACAGGCUUUAAAAAGUGAAUCCACACAGUGGUUUAGGUGCCAGUAUCCAAUUCUAGGCAUGUAAAAUAGACAAGUUUGAACUCUCUAAAGGUUUUCUUCUUUCUGUAUUAUCAGAAAGUAUGUUCCUAAUAUUGCCACUUGAAUAAACUGAUUGCACUCUUAAAUAUAUAUACUCAUGAUGGCUGUUUCAAAGAAGCUUGGUCUUUUGUUUUUUGUUUGUUGUUUUUUUAAGAGAGAGUUUAUUUUAUUUAAAUUCUUAUUUUAGAAAUACAAAUACAAUGCAAGUAUAUGGAUAGCUACUAUUGUGUUCCAUGUACACGUACUUGAUGUAAGAAUCUUCUUAGAACGUGAUAGCUGGGUUUUUUUCUUAAAUUGAAAAUCACUGUCUAUAUAUAAUAUAUUUGGAUAUAUACUUACAAUAACACCAAGUGCAUGAAAUUAAUUCUAGGCUUGUUAUUAUGAAGAUGUUUCAGGAAACUGUAACAAAAAGUCUGGUUUUAAUUUAUUUAAACCAAUGUUCUUGCAAAUCUCACAGGGUAAUUAGAGAUAGAAAGAUACUCAACUGAGUUUACAAGUAAAAAUGAGCAGGUUGGUGUAAAACCUAGUUCAUUAACAAGAAAAGCAAGUGUAUAUGCUUUUGGAAGUAAACUGAAUUCAG
rnacentral:lncRNA from 1 species